rnacentral:rRNA from 1 species
GACGAACGCUGGCGGCAGGCUUAACACAUGCAAGUCGAGCGCAUCCUUCGGGGUGAGCGGCAGACGGGUGAGUAACGCGUGGGAAUCUACCUUUUGCUACGGAAUAGCUCCGGGAAACUGGAAUUAAUACCGUAUGUGCCCUUAGGGGGAAAGAUUUAUCGGCAAGAGAUGAGCCCGCGUUGGAUUAGCUAGUUGGUGGGGUAAAGGCCUACCAAGGCGACGAUCCAUAGCUGGUCUGAGAGGAUGAUCAGCCACAUUGGGACUGAGACACGGCCCAAACUCCUACGGGAGGCAGCAGUGGGGAAUAUUGGACAAUGGGCGCAAGCCUGAUCCAGCCAUGCCGCGUGAGUGAUGAAGGCCUUAGGGUUGUAAAGCUCUUUCACCGGAGAAGAUAAUGACGGUAUCCGGAGAAGAAGCCCCGGCUAACUUCGUG